AUGCCAAUGCCAGAUCAUCAGCGGAAAGGAUGUCAACAUAGUAUACUCCCAUGGUUGCCGCAGAUUAGAAAGUUCAUGAAAAAUAAAUAUAGAAGUUCAGAGAAGAGCGUCGGAAAAAGAUUUGGGAAAAGACACACACCAAAAAAACAUGGGAAAGGCCUGGGGAUGUUUUUUCAUUUGACAUACUUCAAGUAUUUUGUGGGUUACGUCCAACGACAACGAGCAGGCGGCAAGUGUAUUGAUGAGCAAUGGGACGGUGGCAUGGAGCAGUUGAGUAGUGCUUAUAAGCUUGACAUCUUUGAUGAAUCCAGCCUGAACUGA
rnacentral:rRNA from 1 species